CCGAUAUCCGCCACUCAUCACUUGACAUUGGUACUGUACGAGGCCAGUGGCAUGCCGACACAUGGCUUUUCAUGGGAGGAGGAGUUGGUGGGAUGAAUCGGGAAAAGGCCCGGCAACUGCGGGGAUGAUAAAUGCAACCCCAACCAGAGAUUUUGCUUUGUGUAGAGUGGAGAGUUCCCUUGCCGAUAAGGUUAGCGAUGAACGAAAUCGCCCCAAGAGCGAGUUCCCCGCAAGAGAUGGCGAGAUGAUCAAAAAGAGAUUUGAGCGGCUUCUUUUCUAUCGGGAUUCAAGACACUCGGGACAAAGCAAUAUUGGCAAGUCCUGGACAGCGGGAAUCACUCGCUUGUAUCCUUUUCCUCACAGUGAGCUCUGUUUAUGAAGCAUUUGUCCUUCUGUGGAAUUGCGGAUUGUUCCUGCUGUCUAUCUCUUCUGCAAAAUCAGGUACGACUUCCCAUCCAGGAAGGACAAAAGGUGCAAAAAAGAACUCGGGGCACCAAGUGAAAGAUGAGCUUGACUCAAGAUGCCUCGAUGGACAUGUAGGGACAUUAGGAUGGCUCGCUCUUUCCCUACACUCGUUAUUAGAAUCGUUGGAGCGUUCAAAGGAUUUUUUUGUUAAAUAGGUGAUAUUGAUAAUUAGCAAAGCGUCUUGUGCUCGUUAACAUAGACAAUGAAAUUACGAUCGAAAAAAAACAUAGACGAUGAAACAUUAAGAGAAGUGAACUCUCUCAAAAAUAAAAGGUCUAUUGUCAAUACGUGGUAUGUAUCAAAUUUAACUGGGGAGAAGAAUCCAUCGUGUAACCGGUACGCAUGCGCACCCGGGGACAGUUACCCACCCCCGCCCUUUCAUUUGGCUGAACCUUCCUCGAAAUGCAAGCAUGGACCAAGGGUCGGCUUCACGGCCAUCCACUAGGGAUGUGUGCACGGCGCAUCCAGUGGUAACAAUAUAUUUUUCAAGCCUUGUUACCGGCUUUACCUAGUCUUUCCUAGGAGGCAGCCUUUCUCACUACCCAACCGGGUUCUCCCCUCGGGUCUGCCCUCAAGCUGGCAAGAGCCUUUUAAAGUCCUGUUCAAGACCUUACUCAAAAUAAGAUAUUAGAGCCGACAGAAAGUGUUGUAUUCAAAUUUAUCGAAUGUAGUAAGAUGAGAGGGCUAUAGAAGGCCAUGGAAGUAAAUAUCGAUUCUCAUGAAAAAUUCCUUUUAUUGCACUAAA